UAUUGUCAGAAGGCUAAAGGGAAUCCCCUACCGUGGUGCCGAGGGAAGCAAGCCACAGCAAAAGCGCACAGGCGCGGAAAGCUGAAAAAUCACGCGUCGGGUGGAGUUUGGUAGGCUCAAGUCAGCUCGCAGAAGUCAGCACCG
rnacentral:ncRNA from 1 species